GUACGGUAAUUACGUGGGACGUAAAGCGCAUGCAGGCGGCCUGUUAAGUCAGAUGUAGAAACGGCCCGGGGACCUUAACCGUACGGUAAGUUGCUAUUUAGUAAACGUGGCGAGGCUAGAGUCUUGUAGAGGGGGGUAGGAAUUUCAGGUGUAGCGGUGAAAUGCGUAGAGAUCUGAAGGAAUACCAGUGGCGAAGGCGGCCCCCUGGACAAAGACUGACGCUCAGAUGCGAAAGCGUGGGGAGCAAACAGGAUUAGAUACCCUGGUAG
rnacentral:rRNA from 1 species